GUACAGUGCUGUACACGUACACCUAAGUUCGUUGGCGUCGGAGGUCUUUCUGCUAUUAUCAACUUUUGAAGCGAGUUGCGUGUCUGGAGCUCUAAGUUGACAAACAUACAAGUUGGCUAUAUGUGAAACACCUCAUGGUGUAUGCUGAUCAAGUCUGCUUGUUAAUUCUGCUUGUGAGGACAUCUAAACUACAUAGUCCAAAGAUCAUCUGCUUGUCUAUGUCAGUUGGUGUACAAUGAACUAUUGCAUCUAACUUUUUAUUUAAAAAAUAUGGGUAAGUCGCUUCAAUACUGGAUCAAUUGUCAGAGCCAAUUACAACUGGUCAGACAGAUAUUGAAUGUUUUUUUAAUUAGUUGAAUUAAUGGUCAGGAUGUUUGUGUAGCUUUGUUGAAAAUUUGAUAGCUGUUUGAAAAGUGAAUUCUGACUUUUUGGUCUUACUUGGAAUAGAAUAGAUAAUCUAUUCUUGACUGUUAUUAUUAGUAAAGUUCAGCUAGAAUUUGUCUGAUGUGAAAUUCGGCUGAUCACAUUGAAAUGGUUUACCUUAAAUAAUAAUUAUUGUAGCACCCUAGCUUCGUCUGUGCCAAUCACUGUCCAGUAUUCGCUUACAAUAAGUGACAUAUCCCACUUCCGCUACAUAUUGACCGGUCAAUAAAUCGGGCCGUAUA